rnacentral:tRNA from 1 species
GUCUCGGUAGUGUAAGGGACAUAGUACCGUGCCCUGAAAGCACAAGUACGGGUUCGAGUCCUGUCCGAGACU